rnacentral:rRNA from 1 species
GACAGAGGUGCCGAGCGUUAGGCGGAAUCACUGGGCUUAAAGCGUGUGUAGGCGGAUUUUUAAGUACCUUGUGAAAUCCCACGGCUUAACCGUGGAACUGCUUGGUAUACUGGAAAUCUUGAGCCACUUAGGGGCGAGCGGAACAAAUGGUGGAGCGGUGAAAUGCGUAGAUAUCAGGAAGAACACCGAUGGCGAAGGCAGUUCUCUGGGACGGUACUGACACUGAGACGCGAAAGCGUGGGGAGCGAAACAGG